rnacentral:rRNA from 1 species
UGGGGAAUAUUGCACAAUGGGGGAAACCCUGAUGCAGCAACGCCGCGUGAGUGAUGACGGUCUUCGGAUUGUAAAGCUCUGUCUUCAGGGACGAUAAUGACGGUACCUGAGGAGGAAGCCACGGCUAACUACGUGCCAGUAGCCGCGGUAAUACGUAGGUGGCAAGCGUUGUCCGGAUUUACUGGGCGUAAAGGGAGCGUAGGUGGAUAUUUAAGUGGGAUGUGAAAUACUCGGGCUUAACCUGGGUGCUGCAUUCCAAACUGGAUAUCUAGAGUGCAGGAGAGGAAAGUAGAAUUCCUAGUGUAGCGGUGAAAUGCGUAGAGAUUAGGAAGAAUACCAGUGGCGAAGGCGACUUUCUGGACUGUAACUGACACUGAGGCUCGAAAGCGUGGGGAGCAAACA